rnacentral:rRNA from 1 species
GUGUAUGGCCAUACUGCCGCAAGCAUGCCUGAUCUUGUCUGGUUGUGGAAGCUAAGUGGGUUUGGGCCUAGCUAAUACUUGGGUGGGAGACCCCAAAGCCAGCAGGUGCUGGCU